GACGGAGGGCGCGAGCGUUACCCGGAUUUACUGGGCGUAAAGGGCGUGUAGGCGGUCUGGGGCGUCCCAUGUGAAAGGCCACGGCUCAACCGUGGAGGAGCGUGGGAUACGCUCAGGCUAGACGGUGGGAGAGGGUGGUGGAAUUCCCGGAGUAGCGGUGAAAUGCGCAGAUACCGGGACGAACGCCGAUGGCGAAGGCAGCCACCUGGUUCACUGGUGACGCUGAGGCGCGAAAGCCUGGGGAGCAAACCGG
rnacentral:rRNA from 1 species